GUUUUUGCCUACAUGGCUUCUUCCCAAGUACAUCCAUCACAAUAUUAUGCCUAGCAUCUUGAUCAGCAAUUGACAUCUCAUCUAGUGGAGUGCCCUCAGGAUACUCCUUUGCUAACUCAAGAUACUCAUUCUUCUUCGCCACCAUCUCAUCCUUAAAAAAAUAAAAAUAAAUAAUUAAAAAAAAAAAAACAUGUUGUAAUAAUCAUACAUUGAGUGGUUGAGAUUGGACAAUAAAUAUACAAACACUUACAUGUUUAGCUUUCGCUGUCUCAUUGGUCCAUUGCUU
rnacentral:lncRNA from 1 species